UGACGUAUUCUAGGAACUCAUGAAAUGUGAUGAACAGCAUUACAGGUAAUCUGGUAGGUCCGGUGAAUUCACUAGCUCCUCACUGGUGCGUCGUGUUCAACAUUCGCUGAGUUACCUAGCAAUAAAUCGUUGUAGGUCGUUGUGAACCAGCUGCACUAUCAGCAGGUAGAGGAAAUACCGCCCACAAUCAACUUUCCGGGUUUAAGUGCUAAGCAACUGGAGGAGCUGAAUGCGAAGAUAGACAAGGAAAACCGCGCACUCUAUGUAAUACGAUAAAAUAUAUUAAUCGGAACUUAAUAACUUAAUUUCGUUAAUUAAUUACUCUUUAACUGUCAUGGAAUAUAACGUAGAUGGAAUUCACGGUAAAAAAUCUCUAAAAGGUCUAGACAACUUUUACGAUGCGCUGAUAGAAUCAAUCCCAAUUGGCGACAACUUAGGCCCGGCUGAGUUACGGAAGGCAAUACAGUUGCAAAAAAAAUAGAUUCAUAAAGGCAAAAUGUAUAGGCCAAAAUAACCACCAAAAAUAUAUUUAAUUUAUGUU